GCGUCCACUGCUGGACAUAGGCCUUUCCAAGAGCGCGCCACCAAACACGGUCCUCCGCCUUCCUCAUCCACCCGCUCCCCGCCAUCUUUUUCAGGUCAUCGACCCAGCGGGCUGGAGAUCGUGGUGAAAAUUUUA